CCAUGGAAAUAUUAUAUAUUACAUAUUAUACAUAUUUAUAAAUAUUAUAAACUGUACUACAUAUUACAUAUUAUAUACCACAUGUUAUACAUUAUUUUACACAAAUUUCAAAGUUGAAAAUGCAUUUAUAAUCUAACAUAUUAUCCCAAUCGCCUCAUUCACAAGUGUAAAUAUAUUAUUAAAUGAUAAAAAUGUAGAUAAAAUGCAAACUUCUGUUGAGUUCGAAUCCAAACUAACAGCUUUCUAAGCAACUACCAUAACGUUAUACUAUUACUAUUGGGUUGUCCGGAAAGUUCGUUCCGAUUUACAUUUCGAUUCAAUAUACAUUUAUUGAAUCAUAUAGAUGGCAUUUUGUUCCACAACUUUUCUCCAUCUUUCACGUAAAUCGAAUAUUCCAUCCUUCCAGAACCUCUCAGGUUUUUCGGCGAAAAUCUUUUCAAUAUGAUCUUUCAUGUCGACGAAAUUCCUUAAAAAUCGAAAUGAACUUUCUGGGCAAUCAAAUAGUUUACAAUAUGUAGUAUUUUAUCGAGGCUUGAAGCUAAGACAAAGACGAAUUAGGACUAAAUAUUAUCAAUAAUUAAAGAUUAUAAUCAAAUCUAAUCGAAGAAUAUAAUCAACCAUAUAUAAACCAAUACUAAUAUAAAUAUAUCAAUAACUAAGGCUAAAUACUAUCGAAGACUUAUACAAACUAUAGUAAUACACACGUAUACUUAUUAUGUUAGUUGAAUAGUAUGUACGAGGAUUCUACAUAUAUAGUAAUUACCAUAUACAGUUGUAUAAUAUGUAUUUAUGCGCAGAGCAUACAUAAUUCUAUUGAAUACAUUGCUUGUCGCCUGUGGUUCAGGUCAAUCAUCAAUAAAGGUUGGUAUUCUCCCUAUAAUUGUCGCAAUAACCAAUGUCUGAAGUCGAACAGAAUAGUUGUUCAGUUCGUGAAGUAUUCUUUUGUCUUGUAGUUUUCGACUGUGAUGGUAAAUUAUAAGCAUAUUUUCUGAAUCCUGAAUCAGACCUUGCGCCUCUAAAUGUACGAAUUUUUCGAUCGAGGUGUAUCCAGUUUAUUUUGUAAUUUCGAAGUAUUAAGGGUAGGUGGAACUAAACAUUAAGCUGUUAUCUUCGAUGUCUCUUACUUUGGUCCAGUAGUUCCUAAUUAUUUUCAGUAUGAGGAGGCCAAUUCUUAUGAUAUUAGCUUUAUCGUGUAGAUCGUCUUUGUUAACAUAUUUUGUAUCAAUCUUUGCCCGUGACUUUAUUUACGUGGGACCCUGUGAGUUUGAUGGAUAUUUAUUAUAUUUGUUUUACUGUAUUUGUUUUAUGCUAUCUAGAUGAGGCCAUCAUCUCACGCAGUAUCUGAUACUUUGUCCAGGUCAAUUAGUACUGUCCGAAGCAUUGAUUUAUAUUGCUUGCCCAAGAAAUGUUAACUGUAAACUGUGUUGUGCUUGAAACUGUGUCGAGUUUUGAGGAUCAUGUUGUGCUUAUGGUAAUAAACAAAUAGCACGAUCAUCCGAUAAGAUUAUCUUCUUGCAGAGGAUUCAUGGGGAGAGAUUUGCAGUUUUCCAUAUUCUAGGAAAGUAUUUUAGAUUUAAACAGAUUUAAACAGAAUGAUACUGUGUAGUGGUUUGUUAAUGUUAACUACAGCUUCCACAUAGUGCCAUUUCAAAUGCGAUUUCCACAACUGUGACUCCCUCUUGUAAGUAUUUAAUCAAGUGAUUUUCCCAACGAAAUAGCCGACCUACAUAUUAAUACAGGACGAGAGAACUCAUAGAUACUCAACAUACUGACUCAACCGUUUCACAUUUUUCACAAGUGACUGUGGCUGAUCUGUAACGUGCAUAUAUAUAUAUACAUCCACACACAUACGUGUACACAUAUACGCGUACAUACAUUCGAUGGAUACGAAGGUACAAUGGAGAUGAAACUGAUAAUGUGGAGCAAACAACUGCGAGAAUUUGAUAAUUUUAUGCCGCAUAUUUCCGUAGUUAAAAAGCUAUUUCUGAGUCAACGCUUUUAAUUUUUCAUGUUUAUCGUGUUCUCAAUAGCUGAGUCAUAAUAAUCCCAAUAGUCAUACUGACUCGCCAAUCCUAAUCGAAGUUCGUUCGGGUAUUGCUAGAACUUGUACAGAAUCUGUAUAUCCUUGGUAGCAUUACUCACAUUUUUCUCGUCAAAGAUCAGGGUAAUAAACAAUGUAUAACGCACGAGCAUUCUGAUCAGGCACUUUCGUUUUGAGACUUGCUAGACAUCGAAUCUAGCAAAGUCAGUCUCGUGCGAGCUUUUUAGAGCUCCAAGCAGUUGUAGAGUAAACUAGUCUCUCAGUAGUCAGAGAGAACAGUUUCGAAUCGCUAACAUCAUGAAGCAGUUCCUGAAGAGCUUGAUAUUGUAGAUUAAUUUACUCAGUCGGUAACGUUAGACGAAGCAACGGAUCCUCACGACAUAUUAAAUGUAUUAAGUUUAAUGCAGAAUAUAUUAAUAAUGAAGGUAGAGAUGAGGAAUUAGAAAGAAAUAUUAAAUUCAGAUGUUAGGGGCAAAAGCGAAAGAAAACAUGAUAGUAAAUAAUACAGAGACAAACUUAACUGCACAUAGGAGAACAAUAUAUUUAACGGUACAUCCAUGAUUUUGAAUUUUGAUGUUGAAUAAUGUGCAGACAAAUUAAUGAAAAACUAAAACCUGGACAAUAAAGUGAACUCUGUCAGGCGCUUUUAGAUUGUCGUGUAGAAAUGAGAACAUAUAAAAAUUCUUUAGAUUUUUGUUUAGUCGGUUUUGUGUGAUCAAUAAAAUGUAUGUCACAUCAUUUGAGAAAAUUUCUCAGGAUUCGUAUCAUACAGCAUGCCGUUUAGAUAUAAAUAAAUUCCGUAAUGUAGCAAAGUUUCUUCGCUCACUUACUACUUACUGAUCCUAUAUCGUGGCAAAUAUUAUCUCGUAUAAAAUUAAUCCGACAAAUUCCAACAGGAUAUUUAUCAAAAUUUUAUUUCAAGAACUUACCGAAUACGUGCGAGUAUCUGAACUUUAAUCAAAGUGUGAAAUACAUUACGUUAAAGCAUACAUUUGAAGGUUUGCUAUCGCAAUAAAUCCUCU